rnacentral:rRNA from 1 species
AUUGAACGCUGGCGGCAUGCCUUACACAUGCAAGUCGAACGGUAACAGGUCUUCGGAUGCUGACGAGUGGCGAACGGGUGAGUAAUACAUCGGAACGUGCCCGAUCGUGGGGGAUAACGGAGCGAAAGCUUUGCUAAUACCGCAUACGAUCUACGGAUGAAAGCAGGGGACCGCAAGGCCUUGCGCGGACGGAGCGGCCGAUGGCAGAUUAGGUAGUUGGUGGGAUAAAAGCUUACCAAGCCGACGAUCUGUAGCUGGUCUGAGAGGACGACCAGCCACACUGGGACUGAGACACGGCCCAGACUCCUACGGGAGGCAGCAGUGGGGAAUUUUGGACAAUGGGCGCAAGCCUGAUCCAGCCAUGCCGCGUGCAGGAUGAAGGCCUUCGGGUUGUAAACUGCUUUUGUACGGAACGAAAGACUCUUUCUAAUAAAGAGGUCCAUGACGGUACCGUAAGGAAUAAGCACCGGCUAACUACGUGCCAGCAGCCGCGGU